UGGAGAGGUGGCUGAGUGGUCGAAAGCGGCUUCCUGCUAAGAAGUUGUGCGGGGUAAAACCUGCACCGCGGGUUCGAAUCCCGCCCUCUCCGCUUU
rnacentral:tRNA from 1 species